CUUGCUAAUAACGCCAAAUGAAUUUAUUCGGAACCAAGAAAUACGCCUGCACAUUCGAGGUUGAAAAAGUCCUGGCUGCAUUGGGAGAUCAGUACUGUUGUUGGCAAGGAAAGCGUUGGCAUAAAGCAGAAGACAGACAACUUGGUCAAGAAGAACUGGCUAUGGAGAAAGAUACAUAAGAUUUCGCUUCAUCCUCCCAAGAUGCUUCAGUCUUAUCAAGACAAGAGUUAUUGCGAUUCUUUUUCUCCCAUCAAUAAACGAAGAGGAAAGAA